CCUACGGGAGGCAGCAGUGGGGAAUAUUGCGCAAUGGGCGAAAGCCUGACGCAGCGACGCCGCGUGAGGGAUGAAGGUCUUCGGAUUGUAAACUUCUGUUAGCAGGGAAGAACGGUCACUGUGCUAAUCAGCAGUGAAUUGACGGUACCUGCAAAGGAAGCACCGGCUAACUCCGUGCCAGCAGCCGCGGUAAUACGGAGGGUGCGAGCGUUAAUCGGAAUUACUGGGCGUAAAGCGCUCGUAGGCGGUAUGUUAAGUCUAGGGUGAAAUCCCCGCGCUCAACGUGGGAACUGCGUUUGAAACUGGCAAACUGGAGUGUGUGAGAGGAUAGUGGAAUUCCAGGUGUAGGAGUGAAAUGCGUAGAUAUCUGGAGGAACAUCAGUGGCGAAGGCGACUAUCUGGCACAUAACUGACGCCGAGGAGCGAAAGCGUGGGGAGCAAACAGGAUUAGAUACCCCGGUAGUC
rnacentral:rRNA from 1 species